UACGUAGGGUGCGAGCGUUAAUCGGAAUUACUGGGCGUAAAGCGUGCGCAGGCGGUUAUGUAAGACAGGUGUGAAAUCCCCGGGCUUAACCUGGGAACUGCAUUUGUGACUGCAUAGCUAGAGUACGGUAGAGGGGGAUGGAAUUCCGCGUGUAGCAGUGAAAUGCGUAGAUAUUGGGAGGAACACCAGUGGCGAAGGCGGCUCACUGGACCGGAACUGACGCUGAGGCGCGAAAGCGUGGGGAGCGAACAGG
rnacentral:rRNA from 1 species